rnacentral:rRNA from 1 species
ACGUCCGUCGUGAAGAGGGAAACAACCCAGACCGCCAGCUAAGGUCCCAAAGUCAUGGUUAAGUGGGAAACGAUGUGGGAAGGCCCAGACAGCCAGGAUGUUGGCUUAGAAGCAGCCAUCAUUUAAAGAAAGCGUAAUAGCUCACUGGUCGAGUCGGCCUGCGCGGAAGAUGUAACGGGGCUAAACCAUGCACCGAAGCUGCGGCAGCGACGCUUAUGCGUUGUUGGGUAGGGGAGCGUUCUGUAAGCCUGCGAAGGUGUGCUGUGAGGCAUGCUGGAGGUAUCAGAAGUGCGAAUGCUGACAUAAGUAACGAUAAAGCGGGUGAAAAGCCCGCUCGCCGGAAGACCAAGGGUUCCUGUCCAACGUUAAUCGGGG